GAUGAACGCUGGCGGCGUGCCUAAUACAUGCAAGUCGAACGCUGAAGCUUGGUGCUUGCACCGAGCGGAUGAGUCGCGAACGGGUGAGUCACGCGUAUGUAACCUGCCUCUUAGCGGGGGAUCACUAUUGGAAACGAUAGCUAAUACCGCAUAAAAGCCUGUAUCGCAUGAUAUUGAUUUGAAUGUUGCAAAUGGAUCACUAAGAGACGGACUUUCGUUGUUUUAGCUAGUUGGUGAGGUAACGGCUCACCAAGGCGACGAGACAUAGCCGACCUGAGAGGGUGGUCAGCCACACUGGGACUGAGACACGGCCCAGACGCCUACGGGAGGGAGCAGUAGGGAAUCGUCGGGAAUGGGGGCGAACCUGACCGAGCAACGCCGCGUGAGUGAAGAAGGUUGUCGGAUCGUAAAGGUCUGUUGUAAGAGAAGAACGAGUGUGAGAGUGGAAAGUUCACACUGUGACGGUAACUGACCAGAAAGGGACGGCUAACUACGUG
rnacentral:rRNA from 1 species